GCUCCCUUCAACUUUAACAUGGAGGCGCUUUCUGUGCCGUACAAACAACAGUAAGUGCUUCCAUGUUUUAGUAGAAGU
rnacentral:pre_miRNA from 1 species